rnacentral:rRNA from 1 species
UGGGGAAUUUUGGACAAUGGGCGAAAGCCUGAUCCAGCAAUGCCGCGUGUGUGAAGAAGGCCUUCGGGUUGUAAAGCACUUUUGUCCGGAAAGAAAUCCUUGGCUCUAAUACAGUCGGGGGAUGACGGUACCGGAAGAAUAAGCACCGGCUAACUACGUGCCAGCAGCCGCGGUAAUACGUAGGGUGCAAGCGUUAAUCGGAAUUACUGGGCGUAAAGCGUGCGCAGGCGGUUUGCUAAGACCGAUGUGAAAUCCUCGGGCUCAACCUGGGAACUGCAUUGGUGACUGGCAGGCUAGAGUAUGGCAGAGGGGGGUAGAAUUCCACGUGUAGCAGUGAAAUGCGUAGAGAUGUGGAGGAAUACCGAUGGCGAAGGCAGCCCCCUGGGCCAAUACUGACGCUCAUGCACGAAAGCGUGGGGAGCAAACAGGAUUAGAUACCCUGGUAGUCCACGCCCUAAACGAUGUCAACUAGUUGUUGGGGAUUCAUUUCCUUAGUAACGUAGCUAACGCGUGAAGUUGACCGCCUGGGGAGUACGGUCGCAAGAUUAAAACUCAAAUGAAUUGACGGGGUCAUAGCUGUUUCCU